UACGUAGGGGGCAAGCGUUAUCCGGAAUUACUGGGUGUAAAGGGAGCGUAGACGGUAAUGUAAGUCUGGAGGGAAAGGCGGGGGCCCAACCCCCGGACUGCUCUGGAAACUAUGUUACUAGAGUGCAGGAGAGGUAAGCGGAAUUCCUAGUGUAGCGGUGAAAUGCGUAGAUAUUAGGAGGAACACCAGUGGCGAAGGCGGCUUACUGGACUGUAACUGACGUUGAGGCUCGAAAGCGUGGGGAGCAAACAGG
rnacentral:rRNA from 1 species